UGUAAGCGUAUACCAAAGUUGUUGCAGUUAAAACGCUCGUAGUCGGACUUUGGCAGUUCCGGAUGGGUGCACGUCGUGUGCGCACUUCGCGGGGAUUGCUUUUGUGGUCUUGCGUAGGAUGAGGCACUUUUAUUAGUGAACGUCCUCACGCAACCACUUUUUACUGUGAGAAAAUCAGAGUGCUCAAAGCAGGCAUUUGCCGUGAAUGUAUUAGCAUGGAAUAAUAGAAUAGGACUUGGUUCUAUUUUGUUGGUUUGUUGGGACUGAGUAAUGAUUAAGAGGGACAGUUGGGGGCAUUUGUAUUUCGGUGCUAGAGGUGAAAUUCUUAGAUUACCGAAAGACAAACUGCUGCGAAAGCGUCUGCCAAGGAUGUUUUCAUUGA
rnacentral:rRNA from 1 species